GAGAUACUCUCGCGGCGUCGUACGCAGGCGGGCAGGUGCCGUUUGUCCAUCGUCUCUUGUCAUGUCUGACACCGCGCCUGGUUCAGCGCCCGCGCCGGUCACGGCUACUGUUGAUGCGCCCCCAUUGUCGGCCCCAACGAAGGUGAAGCCGCCGCGCAAGAAGCCACCGAGGACGGAAGAAGCCAAGCCCCGGCUGCUCGCUCCGGCAAACGGCGUCUCCGCACAGCAGCAGAAGCAGCGGGACAAGGAGUUUGCCACGCACAAGGCGCACAUUCUGGCCAAUCUGCAGACAAACGUGUGUGACCUGAGCCCCAAGGGAAGCGUAGAUGCGAAGUGUCUCCCUGUGAUGGAUGUGCUCAACACGCACAAGGACUACGUCACCACGAGCAGCUGCAGCGGACGCAUUGCCCUCUUCCACAGCAUCAAACACAGCGAGGCUUGUGGGGCCGACGACGGGACGGCAACGCCGAGGCCGCGCAUGAAGCGUGGCGAAAACGCGGCGCUUGGCUGGGUAUUCGUGAAGCACGGCAUGCUGCGCCCGAUGGAGAUGGCGCAGGUGGUGGGUUUCCUCUGCGGGGCACCCACCACCCCGGAGGACGUAGCGCUGGAUGCGGCGCAGUUGGAGAAGCACGCGGCUCACAUGGCCUCUGUGAGCGGCAGCGCCCACUGCCACGGCGCCACCCCUGGUUCCUUGCUUGCUGAGAUGUAUGAUGGCGAAGUGGAGGGAGUGCUGGUGGCGGCGAGAAUGAGCGGAGACGAGGUUGCGGCACUGCCCGUUCCUACGCGCGGUACCGUGUCGCUCAAGAUGGAGCCGUUUGUGAUGCACGUUCGGUGCCGCACAAUGGAGGCUGCAAAGCUGCUGCACUCGGCGGCCGUUAGCGACAGCGGGUACCGCAACAGCGGCGUUGUCCCGCCUGGCAAAAAGAUCAUGUGCGGCAUCCGCGGUGCUGCUGGACUGGGACUGGAGGUGCCUGUCGUCCUUGACGGUGUCAACCACGUGGCGUCUCAGCGGGCAUACGUUUGGGCGCUGCUGGGACUCGCGAAUGAAAAGAUGGAGGCGAACGAGAAGAAGAUAAGGCUGCUGGAGAAGUCCGUGGCGGCGCGCGUCUUGCCGGCGUGAUGGCCACGCUCAGCCCCUAAAUCGCGCAACGAAAGCUAACAACGUGUGGACGUAUCUGAGUAGCCCAGUGUUCUAGUCAACGCGCGGGCGCACAAGUACCUGCCGUGAGCAGGCCAUCUCAUUCCUACCUCCCGCCCCACUAAGACACGCGCAAAAAAGGAGGCAAGAAAGAGACAGGGCACAAGCGGUGCGCGGCUCUCCGGCAGCAGCGGGGGGGGGGGGGGUACAGCUGUCCCGCUACGACUGCCGAAGCAGCCCCGAUCAUCCCUCCCCACCCCCACCCCUCCCUACCCCUUUUGUCCUCUCCCGUGCACCGCGGGCGAUCACGUACGCCGCCUUGGGAACGAUCCCGCUACGCACGCCCCGCAGUGUGUCUGUGUGUGUGUGUGUGUGUGUCUUUCCCUCUCUCCUUCCCUCUGUGUGCCUCCACCACCACUACCGUCAUCUCUCCUCCUCCUCUGUCUUCUUGUGGACGUACCGUGCGCACGUGGCGACGUCAAUCGGUGACGAUCGCCGUUUUACUGCGCCUACGCGAGAAG
rnacentral:misc_RNA from 1 species